rnacentral:lncRNA from 1 species
AAAGCGGACGAUCAGGCCGAACCCAGAGCGUGCAUGCUCCCUUCGUGUCCCUUGUCCUAAGUUAAUGAGUAAACUUUGGUUAGGACGUUUGGCUUGUGAUAUUUCGGUGGCGGACACCCAACGUCUUAUCCUUCACUUAAACUUAAUCCUGCAGACCCAGCACCGGGGCAGGUUAGCCUUUUCUUCUCCAAGCUCACCCGCCCUCGCCCCUAUAAACUACCAAUGGACAUCCUCUGUGUUGGUCACUGGGAAGCACUGAAGGCUCGAAGGUGAUCUUUGAAAUAGCAUGGAGGAUUGCAACGCGUGGACUGCACGUGCGUAGCAGAGCUAAGCGGUUUGCUUAAGUGCAGUUAUCUUUGUUAUUGGUCAAAUUUAAGAAUGAAUAUUAAUCUCCAUUUUAUGGAAGGGAAGUUGAUAACCACAAUUCAGUGGUACGCAGAGGUCACCAGGCCAAUAGAUAUUACAGCGACGAUUUCUACCCUAGAUGGGCAGAUUACAAAGUGGGAAUAGUUAACCACUUUAUCUAUAUCUAUAUAUCUAUAUAGAUAUUCUCUACUCCCCCAGAAUCUUUUUCACAAACAUUUCUAUGUAAAUAGAAUAACUUCAUAGAGAAAGUAAAACACUCUUACAAUAAAAAAAUACAAAAAAAUGGAAGCAUCUCCUGCCCUUGCAGAAAAAUAUGAAACGCUUUGGUGAGUCGUUGGACAUAGAGAAAUUAAGAUUUUCUUUACAUUGGGACAGACUCAUAAUUGCAACCGUACUAUCAACUGCAAUUUUUUUUUCUAUUAAACAUUUUAAAUAUGUAACCAUGGGACUGAAGGAGCUGAAGGGGUUUGGAGCCCCAUGGAGGGAGCAACAGUGUCAACAGGCCAGUUCCCCUAGAGCUCCCAGGGACAGGACAACCAACCAAAGACUAAACAUGGAGCAACCCAUGGCACUGGCCACAUAUGUGGCAGAGGAUGGCCUUGUUGUACAUCAGUGGGAAGAGAGGCCCUCAGGCCUUAGGGUGUUCAAUGCACCAUUUGUAGGGAAAUGCCAGGGUGGGAGGAUGGGAGUGGGUGGGUGGGGGAGCACCCUCAUGGAGGCAGGAGGAGUGGGGAUGGGAUAGGGGGUUUCCGAAGGGGAGACCUGAAAAGUGGAAAACAUUUGAAAUGUAAAUAAAGAAAAUAUCC